rnacentral:rRNA from 1 species
GACGAACGCUGGCGGCGUGCCUAAUACAUGCAAGUUGAGCGCUGAAGGUUGGUACUUGUACCAACUGGAUGAGCAGCGAACGGGUGAGUAACGCGUGGGGAAUCUGCCUUUGAGCGGGGGACAACAUUUGGAAACGAAUGCUAAUACCGCAUAAAAACUUUAAACACAAGUUUUAAGUUUGAAAGAUGCAAUUGCAUCACUCAAAGAUGAUCCCGCGUUGUAUUAGCUAGUUGGUGAGGUAAAGGCUCACCAAGGCGAUGAUACAUAGCCGACCUGAGAGGGUGAUCGGCAACAUUGGGACUGAGACACGGCCCAAACUCCUACGGGAGGCAGCAGUAGGGAAUCUUCGGCAAUGGACGAAAGUCUGACCGAGCAACGCCGCGUGAGUGAAGAAGGUUUUCGGAUCGUAAAACUCUGUUGGUAGAGAAGAACGUUGGUGAGAGUGGAAAGCUCAUCAAGUGACGGUAACUACCCAGAAAGGGACGGCUAACUACGU